GUUAGGAAUAUUGGACAAUGGGCGCAAGCCUGAUCCAGCCAUGCCGCGUGAGUGAUGAAGGCCUUCGGGUUGUAAAGCUCUUUAGCCGAUGAUUAUAAUGACUGUAGUCGGAAAAUAAGCCCCGGCUAACUUCGUGCCAGCAGCCGCGGUAAUACGAAGGGGGCGAGCGUUAUUCGGAAUCACUGGGCGUAAAGCGUGCGUAGGCGGCUUUGCAAGUUGGGAGUGAAAGCCCAGGGCUCAACCCUGGAAUUGCUCUCAAAACUGCAAGGCUCGAAUUCGGGAGAGGAUAGCGGAAUUGUCAGUGUAGCAGUGAAAUGCGUAGAUAUUGACAGGAACACCAGUGGCGUAAGCGGCUAUCUGGACCGAUAUUGACGCUGAGGCUCGAAGGCCAGGGGAGCAAAAGGGAUUAGAAACCCCAGUAGUCC
rnacentral:rRNA from 1 species